rnacentral:rRNA from 1 species
CAGUCGCCGCGGGAAUACAGAGGGUGCAAGCGUUAAUCGGAAUUACUGGGCGUAAAGCGCGCGUAGGUGGUUCGUUAAGUUGGAUGUGAAAUCCCCGGGCUCAACCUGGGAACUGCAUCCAAAACUGGCGAGCUAGAGUAGGGCAGAGGGUGGUGGAAUUUCCUGUGUAGCGGUGAAAUGCGUAGAUAUAGGAAGGAACACCAGUGGCGAAGGCGACCACCUGGGCUCAUACUGACACUGAGGUGCGAAAGCGUGGGGAGCAAACAGGAUUAGAUACCCCCGUAGUCCCUGUCUCUUAUAC